rnacentral:rRNA from 1 species
CCAAUAGCGUAUAUUAAAGUUGUUGCAGUUAAAAAGCUCGUAGUUGAAUUUCGGAAUCAAUAUGUUGGUCGUGCCUUGGUACGUACUGGCAUUAUUGGUUUCUACCUUCUGAAGAACCUCGAUGUCAUUAAUUUGGUGUCUUGGGGAAUCAGGACUGUUACUUUGAAAAAAUUCGAGUGUUUAAAGCAGGCUCACGCUUGAAUACAUUAGCAUGGAAUAAUGAAAUAGGACGUUUGAUUCUAUUUUGUUGGUUUCUAGGAUCGACGUAAUGAUUAAUAGGGAUAGUUGGGGGCAUUAGUAUUCAAUUGUCAGAGGUGAAAUUCUUGGAUUUAUUGAAGACUAACUACUGCGAAAGCAUUUGCCAAGGACGUUUUCAUUAAUCAAGAACGAAAGUUAGGGGAUCGAAGACGAUCAGAUACCGUCGUAGUCUUAACCAUAAACUAUGCCGACUAGGGAUCGGAUGAUGUUAAUUUUUUAAUGACUCAUUCGGCGCCUUACG